rnacentral:rRNA from 1 species
GAUGAACGCUGGCGGCGUGCCUAAUACAUGCAAGUCGAGCGAACAGAUGAGGAGCUUGCUCCUCUGACGUUAGCGGCGGACGGGUGAGUAACACGUGGAUAACCUACCUAUAAGACUGGGAUAACUUCGGGAAACCGGAGCUAAUACCGGAUAAUAUAUUGAACCGCAUGGUUCAAUAGUGAAAGACGGUUUUGCUGUCACUUAUAGAUGGAUCCGCGCCGCAUUAGCUAGUUGGUAAGGUAACGGCUUACCAAGGCAACGAUGCGUAGCCGACCUGAGAGGGUGAUCGGCCACACUGGAACUGCGACACGCUCCAGACUCCUACGGGAGGCAGCAGUAGGGAAUCUUCCGCAAUGGGCGAAAGCCUGACGGAGCAACGCCGCGUGAGUGAUGAAGGUCUUCGGAUCGUAAAACUCUGUUAUUAGGGAAGAACAAAUGUGUAAGUAACUAUGCACGUCUUGACGGUACCUAAUCAGAAAGCCACGGCUAACUACGUG